AGACCCGAAACCCGGUGAUCUAGCCAUGGGCAGGUUGAAGGUUGGGUAACACUAACUGGAGGACCGAACCGACUAAUGUUGAAAAAUUAGCGGAUGACCUGUGGCUGGGGGUGAAAGGCCAAUCAAACCGGGAGAUAGCUGGUUCUCCCCGAAAGCUAUUUAGGUAGCGCCUCGUGAAUUCAUCUCCGGGGGUAGAGCACUGUUUCGGCCAGGGGGCCAUCCCGGCUUACCAAUCCGAUGCAAACUGCGAAUACCGGAGAAUGUUAUCACGGGAGACACACGGCGGGUGCUAACGUCCGUCGUGAAGAGGGAAACAACCCAGACCGCCAGCUAAGGUCCCAAAGUCAUGGUUAAGUGGGAAACGAUGUGGGAAGGCCCAGACAGCCAGGAUGUUGGCUUAGAAGCAGCCAUCAUUUAAAGAAAGCGUAAUAGCUCACUGGUCGAGUCGGCCUGCGCGGAAGAUGUAACGGGGCUAAACCAUGCACCGAAGCUGCGGCAGCGAACGUAUCACCCAAGACAACUUUACACAGUUGACGCCUGACGGAGCGAAGCGACGUCAAAGCGUUUUACAACGUCGAGUUGGCUUAGGGAUACGUUCGUUGGGUAGGGGAGCGUUCUGUAAGCCGUUGA
rnacentral:rRNA from 1 species